rnacentral:lncRNA from 1 species
UAUAUAUAUAUGUAUAUAUUAUAUAUAUAUAUAUAUAUAUAUAUAUAUAUAUAUAUAUAUGUGUGUGUGUGUGUAGGUAUGUAUCUAUAUAUAUGUGGGGGGGAUGCCUGUGUUUGUCCUGCCCAUCACCGCUUAACAACCGGUUUUGGUGUGUUUACGUGCCGUAAUUUAUUAAAAAUAAGUCCCCGGGGUCGAUUUGUUCGACUAAAAUCCUUCAAGGCGGUGCUGCAGCAUGGCUGCAGUAAAAUGACCGAAACAAAUAAAAGAAUAUAUGUGUGUGUGUGCAUGUGUGUGCAUGUGUGUGUGUGCAUGUGUGUGUGUGUCUGUGCGCGUGUGCAUGUGUGUGUCUGCAUGUGUGUGUGCGUGUGUAUAUGUGCGUGUGUGUGUGUGUGCAUGCGCGUGCAUGUGUGUGUACUGAAAACUCUUAAUCCUGCUCAGUAAAACAUACUUCGCUGAAGAAGUUUCAUAAAAUCGAAACAUGUCCGUUCUUAGCUUCGGUUGGCUUUAACGACCAAGAUCCACUUCAAUCUGCAUUGCAUCUAUAUCGACCAAACCCAUGACCAAAGACACGCCAGCUGUGACCAUCCGGUCUUUAAUUUCUUUAUUCAUUCACUAGUGGCUAUCUAUCUACAACUAAUGGAAACAUAUGGCGUGUCAUGGUGGCUAUUUAUCGUAAAGGAGAUAAUGGCUUCUAGAACAAUCAUGAUGUUCUGGAAGUGAAAAGCAGCUUGUAGUUUACAUCAACUCCUUUAUUCUACAGUUACUUUAUUCUAUCGACCCUAAAUUGACCUUGGCGGGAUUUGAACUCGGAACAAAAAGACAGACGAAAGCAACAAUACAUAAGCAUUAUAUAUCAGUUGGGCUGACGAGUCUGCCGGUUUUUUGCCUUUGUGUUGUUGCAUACGGGUUAUUCAAAAUAGGCAGUCUUGAUAAUAAUAAUAAUAAUAAUAAUAAUAAUAAUAAUAAUAAUAAUAAUAAUAAUAAUAAUAAUGAUAAUUAUAAAUAAAUAAAUAAAAAAAACCGGGGUACAUCGUCCGUGAGAACGUCAGCUAAUAGUAAUGCAUGACCUAGCUUAUCAUAUGGUAAGGAAAACAGAGCAGAUCCCUUUAAAAAAAAAUAGGGACAGAGGGUAAAAAAAGGGUAAAAAAUUAUUAUAAAUUCCCUUUGAAACUAGGUUUGUAGGUCAAAAUAAUUAUUUCUUUGUGGGAGUGUUUUAUAUAUAUAUAUAUAUAUGUGUAUAUGUGUGUAUGUGUAUGCAUGUAUAUGUGUGUGUGUAUGCAUGUAUGUAUGCAUCUAUGUAUGUAUGUAUGUAUGCAUGUAUGUAUGUGUGUAUGUAUGUAUGUAUGUAUGUAUGUAUAUCAUGUCGGUCUAUUUAUAUUUUCUUGUUUGGAGGGAAAGCGGAGAGGCGUGUGACUUUUAUACAGAUGUGUAUUUGGUGUGUGUAUGUGUGUGUCUGUAUACGUGUGUGUCUGUGUGUGUGUGUGUAUGUGUGUGUUUGUGUGUGUGUGCGUGUGUGUAUGCUUGUGUGUUUGCGUGUGUGCAUGUGUGCGUGUGUGACUGUGUGUGUGUAUGCGCGUGUAUGUGUGUUUGUGCGCGUGUUUGCUAGUGUGUAUGCUUGUGUGUUUGUGUGUAUGUGUAUGCUUGUGUGUGUGUAUGUAUGUAUGUAUGUAUGUAUGUAUGUGUGUGUGUGUGUGUGUGUGUGUGUGUGUGUAUGUGUGUGUGCGUGUGUGUUUCCUUCUGAAAGCGGUUUUCCUAAAAAAAUUAAUCUUUAGCAGUUCCGUCGUCGCUCUCCAUCCUCUUUUUCCAUUUCUAUCAACCCCCCACCUCCAUCCCUCCAUCCCUUUCGCACACCCCCUUCUCCCCAUACACCUCACUGCUCCACCCGUGCCCUUCCAUAAAAAAAAUCAAAUAAUGAAAUUAUAGAAAAAUAGAAUUAUAACCUUCUCUCUGUUUCGUCGUUGUAGUUUCGCUUUCCAGUGAAGGUAGUUUUGGUAACAGUGCGUGGACGGAACGGCAGAAUCGGUGGUGCGUCGAACAAAAGUACAUCUUUUACUUGCGACAGCUUUUAGGUGCCGCGUUUAGAUCCUGCUUCUAGGUUUAAUAAAGUGAGAAGCAGUGAGAAAUUACUGGUAAAAGAAGAGGGCCGUUUAGGAUUUUGUCUUAUGCGGCGCUAACGGUUCUCCCAAAUCGCUGGCUUAAUACAAUAAUAGUAAUCAUUAUUAUUAUUAUUUCAAAAUUACAUCAACCUCAGUAUUCAGCUGGUACUUAUUUUUUCAACCCCCGAAAGGAUGAAAGGCAAAGUCGACCUCGCCGGAAUUUGAACUCGGAACUUAGCGAUGGGCGAAAUACCGCUAAGCAUUUCGUCCACAGUGCUAACGAUUCUUAUUUCUUUAUUGCCCACAAGUGGCAAAACAUAGAGACGACAAACAAAAACAGACAAAGGGAUUAAGUCGAUUUCAUCGACCCCAGUGCGUAACUGGUACUUAAUUUAUCGACCCCUAAAGGAUGAAAGGCAAAGUCGACCUCGGCAGAAUUUGAACUUAGAACGUAACGGAUUUGAACUCAGAACAGAACAUUCUAACGAUUCUGCCAGCUCGCCGCCUUAACAACAACAACAACAACAACAACAACAACAACAACAACAACAAUAAUAAUCCCUUCUCCUAAAGGUACAAAACCUGGAAUUUGCGUGGAGUGGGUAAAUCGAUUACAUCGACCCAAGUAAGGAUGAAAUUUAUCGACCCCGAAAGGAUGAAAGGCAAAGUCGAUCUCGGUGGAAUUUGAACUCAGAGCGUAAAGACAGACGAAACGCCUCUAAGCAUUUCGCCAGGCGUGCUAACAUUUCUGCCAGCUCGCCGCCUUAUUGCCGCACUUGAUAAAUCGAGAACACAACUCGGCUCUCGCCAUGCAAAUCACGGACCAUGCUUCCACAAGAUUCGUCGGCCUCACAUCUUGAAGAUAAAUAAUGGCUGACCAACCCACAGUUAUGUCGACCCCUAACACAAAGUGCCCUUUCUUACUAUAACUGAAAGCAAGCAGGAAAAAGUUUGCUUUUCUCUGUCUUCCUCUCUCUUGACCUCUUGUUCGCCUGUUUUGUCUCUCUUGUUUUUGAACUGUCUGCUUAAUCUCCAGCGAUAUGCUGGCGACCGCCGACUUCUUAAAACCCAAAGCAAGCCCUGAGGUCAUAAACAGACGACAAUGGACGAACCAAUGGGCUUUCAUCUUUUUCACGUCACACCUAGAUCAGUUGUCGUAAGGUUCAUGCAUAAUGACAUUGUUACCGAAAUACGAAAUUAAUGAACGUAGAAGACAAUUACGUAUUUUAUAACUAUUGAAAUAUUCCGUACAAAAUAAGAGAAAUCAGAUAAAAGACGUUUGGUAUGUGUCACAGCGCCAUUUUGUUAUGUUCUCACUCCCCACUAACUUUAGAAACUGGCUGUUCUCUGCCUUUCUCUCUCUCUUGGUCUCCCCUUUUGUUUUUCGUUGUCCCUUUUUUUCACGCCCUCUCCUCGAAAAGAACAGGAAAGCCAUUAUUUGUCUGCUUUUCCUUCUUUACUCGCAAAGCAAACAGGAACUGUCUCUACUUACACUUUAUAGAUAAUAUUGAUUGCUUACAAUUUAUGUUAAGAAAUAGAAGAAUGAGAAAUGCAAUGUGUGUGUGUGUGUGUGUAUGUGUAAGGCGGCGAGCUGGCAGAAUCGUUAGCACGCCGGGCGAAAUGCUUAGCGGUAUUUCGUCUGCCGUUACGUUCUGAGUUCAAAUUCCGCCGAGGUCGACUACGCCUUUCAUCCUUUCGGGGUCAAUAAAUUAAGUACCAGUUAAGCACUCGGGUCGAUAUAAUCGACUUAAUCCGUUUCUCUGUCCUUGUUUGUCCUCUCUGUGUUUAGCUCCUUGUGGAUAGUAAAUAAAUAGGUAUUUCGUCUGCCGCUACCUUCUGAGUUCAAAUUCCGCCGAGUCCACUUUGCCUUUCAUCCUUUCGGGGGUCGAUUAAAUAAGUACCAGUUACGCACUGGGGUCGAUAUAAUCGACUUAAUCCGCUUGUCUGUCCUUGUUUGUCCUCUCUGUGUUUAGCUCCUCGUGGGUAGUAAAUAAAUAGGUAUUUCGUCUGGCGCUACGCUCUGGGUUCAAAUUCCGCCGAGGUCAACUUUGCCUUUCAUCCUUUCGGGGUCGAUUAAAUAAGUACCAGUUACGCACUGGGGUCGAUAUAAUCGACUUAAUACCUUUGUCUGUCCUUGUUUGUCCCCUCUGUGUUUGUCCCCUCUGUGUUUGGCCCCUUUUGGGUAGUAAAUAAAUAGGUAUUUCGUCUGCCGCUACGUUCUGAGUUCAAAUUCCGCCGAGGUCGACUUUGCCUUUCAUCGUCUCGGAGUCGAUAAAUUAAGUACCAGUUGCGUACUGGGGUCGAUCUAAUUACGUGCCAUGUGUGUGUGUGUGUGUGUGUGUGUAUCACGAUUACAAUGAGGAUAGUAAAAAUUAUCAAUAAUUAAUUUCAUAUUACACAAAUAUAUAUCCUGGGAAAAUGGACCGAUAGAUUAAGAACUGGGGGUCGAUUUGUUCGACUAAAACUCUUCAAGGCAGUAAUACAGCAUGGCCGCAGUUGAAUACAUACAUACAUAAUGCAUACAUAUAUACAUACAUACAUACAUACAUACAUACAUACAUAUAUACAUACAUACAUACAUACAUACAUAUAUGUAUGUAUAUAUAGGCGCAGGAGUGGCUGUGUGGUAAGAAGCUUGCUUAUCAACCACACGGCUCCGGGUUCAGUCCCACUGCGUAGCACCUUGGGCAAGUGUCUUCUACUAUAGCCUCGGGCCGACCAAAGCCUUGUGAGUGGAUUUGGUAGGCGGAAACUGAAAGAAGACCGUCGUACACACACACACACACACACACACACACACACAUACACAUAUGAGCAACUAUAUAAAAGCAUUAUUACGGUUUUUAACAGUAAUAAUGAGGUGGUUAGCAAGACUUCUACCUAAACAGGUAUAAUAAGGCGGCGAGCUGGCAGAAACGUUAGCACGCCGGGCGAAAUGCGUAGCCGUAUUUCAUCGCCGUUACGUUCUGAGUUCAAAUUCCGCCGAGGUCGACUUUGCCUUUCAUCCUUUCGCGGUCGAUAAAUUAAGUACCAGUUACGCACUAGGGUCGAUAUAAUCGACUUAAUCCGUUUGUCUGUCUGUCUGUCCUCCCUGUUUGUCCCCUCUGUGUUUAGCCCCUUGUGGGUAGUAAAAAAAUAGGUAUAAUAUGAAAUAUUUGAAUAAAAGAAGAGUAAAAACACCGCUUGCCAAAAGCUGAAAGCGAAAGCUUCAAAAACCACCAAUCCUACGAUAAAUACACACACACACACACACACACACACACACACACACACACACACACACACACACACGAGGAAUGCAAUGAACACUUCAAAAGAAAAAACAAAAAAAACCCAGAAAAAAAUAGGCCUAGCUUCAGGAUGGAACCCGAAGACAGCCCACAUACCCCAAAUCUAUUUCCAAAAUAUUUACUACGUCAACGCGUAUACGUUUCGCAGUUUACACGUACCUAUACACUCAGGAGUGGCUGUGUGGUAAGUAGCUUGCUAACCAACCACAUGGUUGCGGGUUCAGUCCCACUGCGUGGCAUCUUGGGCAAGUGUCUUCUGCUAUAGUCCCGGGCCGACCAAUGCCUUGUGAGUGGAUUUGGUAGACGGAAACUGAAAGAAGCCUGUCGUAUAUAUGUAUAUAUAUAUAUAUAUAUGUGUGUGUGUGUGUUUGUGUGUCUGUGUUUGUCCCCCUAGCAUUGCUUGACAACCGAUGCUGGUGGGUCUAUGUCCCCGCCACUUAGCGGUUCGGCAAAAAAGAGACCGAUAGAAUAAGUACUGGGCUUACAAAGAAUAAGUUCCGGGGUCGAUUUGAUCGACUAAAGGCGGUGCUCCAGCAUGGCCGCAGUCAAAUGACUGAAACAAGUAAAAGAGUAAAAAGAGAGUAAAAGAGAGUAAGUAACUCGCACACGUACAGGCACUUGCGCGCGCGCAGUAUUAAUCUUUCGUUUAAUCCAUAUAAGUGACGUUUUAUUUCCAUUUGCUCGCUGCCCCUCCCCCCCUCCACUUCCACCCCCACCGCCACCGCUUUUUCUUAUCCUUUUUUUUUUAUCGUUUUCAUUUCUUUUCUAUAUAUAUGGUUUAUGGUUUUUCUUUUCUUUGUUUCUUCUUCAUCUUCUCCAUGUUCCAAUUACCUUUUAUGCUAUCUGAUGUGUUUAUUGUGCGUGUUCAGUGAACGAAGCCACAUUCUGACAUGGAGUAUGCACACACACACACACACACACACACACACACACACACAUACACACACGUCCACACGCAUACAUAUGCACACAUAUACUCACACUCACACACACAUGUCCACACACAUGCACACACACAAACGCACACACACAAGCACACACACACACGUCCACACACAUGCACACACUUACAUACACACACAUAUACUCAUACACAUACGCACACAUGUACACAAACACACACAUACACACACAUAUACUCACACCCACACACGUCCACAUACACAUACGCACACAUAUUCACACACACAUGCACAAGCACACACGUUCAUACACACACACACACGCAUGCACACACACAUACACACACAUAUAUUCACACAUAUACUCACACACACAUGCACACACACACCUCCACACACACACACACAUUUACUCACACACACGCACACACACACACACACACAUACAAACACACACACUUCAAUGAACACAAUAAUGGGACAUUGAUAAUCACCGCAUUCAAUCAACGAUCACAGCAACAUUCUCUCAGAACAAUAUAUAAACUAAUUCAUGUCAGACCAACCCAAUGUUCCGCAAACCCUUUUUUCACUUAAGGUACACCUACAUUCUUUUCGAAAUUCGGCGGCACACCUGAACUAGAAAUAUAACUAAAAGUACAGCGGGGUGGGAAUUAUAUUUAGGUUACACUGCGGCACAUCUAGCAUCGUCUAGUGCAGUGGUUCCCAUACGUUUUCGGGCUACCGUCCCCUUGACACCCAGACCACAUUCCUAGUGCCCCUACCCAAAGUAACCGUCACAAGCAGAGACCUUUUUCUGAAGCAAAUUCAAAGCAACUUUAUUUCACAAAAGCCUUAACCUAACGAACCCAUUAUUUCGUUGUUUUUACAUAAAUCGCUACCCUCAUUGUCACCCCACUUUUCUUCAACGUCCCCAAUCGAACUUCCUCCGCCCCCCAGGGAGCAAUACUGCCCACUUUGGGAACCACUAGUCUAGUGGCACACCAGCGUGUCACGGCAUACCGGUUGCAGAGUACUGGUUUAAUAGGUGUGCCAAAAUCGUCGAAACGGGUGAUCAAACUUCCAAGAGCACCAAUUACUAUUGGUAUCACCUUGUACUUAGCUUGGUCUUGCCUGCUGUUUCUUCAGUGAGCUUAGUCUUUCCCUUGGUCUUUUCUCGGAUUGGCUUCUAUGUAGAUCAUUUCCUGUUUACCUUAUUUUUGUCUGGAUCAGUUGGCGGCAUUUUUUUCUUCUACAUCCGGUCAUAUGAUACUGGUCUCUCUCAUGUCAGUCAUCAAUGGCCUACACUUUGCAAUUUCGGUCUUCUGUUUCCCUUUCAAUGAUAUCCAUUCGAAAGCUGUUUUAGAACGUUGUUAUUUUGGUAGCUCGGGCAUGUGACCAGUUAGUUUUAACCUUAGUCCCGUGACGAUUUCGCUAAGUGUUCGUGCGUGGAUUCUGUUAAGAAUGUUCUCAUAGGUUUCCAUUCCGUAUUUAACUGACCAGAUUGUGAGACAGAUAGAUAGACAGACAGACUGAUUAAGAUAGAACUAACAUGUGUGAUAUAUUGGCGUUUCUAUUAAGAUAUAAAAAGAAGAGAGACGUUAGAAUAGCUGUCAGAUUUUGAAUAAAUGCUGGGGUCGAUUUGAUCAACUAAAAUCCCUUCAGUGCGGUGCCCCAGAAUAAUCAGAAGAACAAACAAACAUGGAGUAUUAAUUUGUUGAAAAGACAUAGAUAUGCAGCGAGAUACAUCGAUAGAUGAGCAGAUAAGCAUGUUGUUCGGCUGUUACAUAGACAUGUCAGUGUUAAUGUCUUAAAUACGUGGAACGUUAAAAGGUUAACUAGAAAUAAAUAGGAAGCUAAACAAACAGACAGAUAGUUAGGUUAGACAUGUUGAUAAAUAAGUUAAUGUGAACAUAUGUGAAGAGCAGAGCAUUAAAAAGUUAGCUGCAAAUACUAGUGGGGCGAAAGAGAAGUGGAUAGUUCGGUAGAUAUGCAAAGAAAAUGAUAAAAAUGCAAUUGUUAAUAUAUGAAUUACAUGAUGCGUUAAAAAGCUAGCUGCAGACAAAUAUGUAGCGAUGAAGAAAAAAUGAUAUUAGAUCAUUGCUAAUGCUACUUUCUCGUCUGGUAAGUAUGGGAAACAACUUCCGACUUGUUUAGUGUUAUUUCAACUUCGUUAGUGAACUACAUCCUUCUCCGUAUUAACGAGAAGUUAGGUAAAUAUGGCGGUAAUUUAACUUAUGCUAACAGAUGUAACUAACUGCAAAUAAACAAGUGACAAGAACAAAACAGGAAAACACGAUAAUGUGCAAUGGUUAAUAUUAUUUUCGCUUCUGGCAAGUAAACAACUUCCGACAUGUUUUCACCUUAUUCUGACCUCUUCAGAAGAGCACGAUCUUCUCCGUAUUAAAGAUGUACAGAUAGAAGAAUGGAAGAAUGCUUAAGUAAACAUGUAAGGUUGUACAUUCGUUGGCUCAGGUACAUUAGACCUGUUUAGAGAAUAAAUAACGUAGGUACGCCAUCUGCAUAUAAAAGCGUAAAGAUAGUGCUAACAUAUUUAAUACUUGCUUCAUGAAAACACUAACUGGAAAUAUAUACUCUUUUACUCUUUUACUCUUUUACUUGUUUCAGUCAUUUGACUGCGGCCAUGCUGGAGCACCGCCUUUAGUCGAGCAAAUCGACCCGGGACUUAUUCUUUGUAAGCCCAGUACUUAUUAUAUCGGUCUCUUUUGCCGAACCGCUAAGUUACGGGGACGUAAACACACCAGCUUCGGUUGUCAAGCAAUGCUAAGGGGACAAACACAGACACACAAACACACACACACACAUAUAUAUAUAUAUAUACAUAUAAAUGACAGGCUUCUUUCAGUUUCCGUCUACCAAAUCCACUCACAAGGCAUUGGUCGGCCCGGGGCUAUAGCAGAAUACAUUUGCCCAAGAUGCCACGCAGUGGGACUGAACCCGGAUCCAUGUGGUUGGUUAGCAAGCUACUUACCACACAGCCACUCCUACGCCUAUAUAUGUACGAAUAAAAGUGAACACACAUUAGAUGCUUUUCUUUUCUUGCUAUUCGUCUUUCCAGAGACAAUGAAAUAAAGUACAAAUCAAGCAUUGGGCUCAAUGUUACCAUCGAACCCUUCCUCACAAAAUUUGAGGCUUUCUCAUUCUCGUAACCGUUUCAGAAACAGAACACAGAAAUAAGCAGGGAGCGGCAUCCAAAACUCAGAGUUUUUAUCUUGGCUACCGAAUAAUUGUCACAUGGGUGGAGGCGCAAUGGCCCAGUGGUUAGGGCAGCGGACUCGCGGUCAUAGGAUCGUGGUUUCGAUUCCCACACCGGGCGUUGUGAGUGUUUAUUGAGCGAAAACACCUAAAAGCUCCACGAGGCUCCGGCAGGGGAUGGUGGUGAUCCCUGCUGUACUCUUUCACCACAACUUUCUCUCACUCUUACUUCCUGUUUCUGUUGUACCUGUAUUUCAAGGGGCCGGCCUUGUCACUCUCUGUGUCACGCUGAAUAUCCCCGAGAACUACGUUAAGGGUGCACGUGUCUGUGGAGUGCUCAGCCACUUACACGUUAAUUUCACGAGCAGGCUGUUCCAUUGAUUCGGAUCAACCGGAACCCUCAUCGUCGUUACCGACGGAGUGCUUCCACCACCCACAAUUGUCACCUAUUAUUUUACAGAUAAAUUUCCUCUAUUUACAUAAUAUUGAGGUCUCUUUCUUUCUUUUGUUAUCUUACCGUUUUUACCAAUAACCUUCGAAACGUAGAGUAGAUGAAACCAUGGCGACUGAAGAAGGGUUUUUUUUCUUUGUGUUAAUUGUCCUGUACUCUAUUUUUGUUGUUGUUUAAAAAAAUGUCCAGUUCCUUGGGUUUGUGUCUAUGUUUUCGUUUCUCGUUGUGUUCAACGUUUUUUUUGGUGUCCUGUACUCAUAUAUGCGUGUAUAUAUACAUGUAGAGGUAGGUACGUACAUAUAUGUAUAUAUAUAUGCAUAUGUUUUAUUUAUUAUUAUAUAUAUAUAUAUAUAUAUACACACACACACACACACACACACACAUACACACACACACACAUAUAUAUAUAUACAUACAAGGCGGCGAGCUGGCAGAAACGUUAGCACGUCGGGCGAAAUGUGUAGCCGUAUUUCGUCUGCCGUUACGUUCUGGGUUCAAAUUCCGCCGUGGUCGACUUUGCCUUUCAUCCUUUCGGGGUCGAUAAAUUAAGUACCAGUUACGCACUGGGGUCGAUAUAAUCGACUUAAUCCGUUUGUCUGUCCUCGUUUGUCCCCUCUGCGUUUAGCCCUUUGUGGGUAGUAAAGAAAUAUAUAUAUAUAUACAUACUUAUGUAUAUACUAUACUGUACUAUACUAUAAAGAAAAUGAAACCCUUUAUGAAUAGAAACUUUCAUAGUUGAAGAAGGAAGAUAAAUGUAAAAAAAGAGAAAAGCCCUGCAGCAUUCGUUGGAAACUCACAAAGAAAAGGGGGAGAUAAUUUCAAUAAUUGAAGAAUAAAUUAAAAUAAAAAUGAAUUGUCUUACCCGAGGUAAAAUAUUUGCUCUUUGUUAAAGGUGGACAUGUUUCGUUUUGCUGUCAACGUUCUUGAUAACGAACAUCCCCUUUUUCCCUGCAGCCUGACUUAUGCAUAAGAAUUACAUUUUAAAAACUAUAUUAUUGAAAUUAUCUCCCCCUAUUCUUUGCGAGUUGCUAGUAAAUGCCGCAAGGUUUCGGUUGAUUUUUUCUUCUUAUUUUCUUUAUUUUUCUUUGCCAUGAUAAAGGAAAAUUUCGAUUUAUUAUAAAUUUAUGCGUAGCAAUUCAGUACAUAAAAAAUAUGUAGAUAUUAUAUAUAUCUAUCUAUACAUACAGAACAUGUAUGUAUACGGACGUGUGUAUAAACGGCGUUGUUUGUCUUGCUGGUGAUUUUGGUGCCAAUGGUGAUGGCGGUGGUAAUGGUUGCGUUGUUGCUGCUGUUGUUGUUGUUGUUGGUGGUGGUGGUGGUCGUAUUGUUAUCAGUGGUUGUUGUGGUGGUGGUUGAGUCUGUAUGUAUGUAUGAGUAUGUCUAUAUAUGUAUAUGCCUUUGUAUAUGUAUAUAUUUGCAUGUGUCUGGGUAUGUGUGAGUAUGUGUGUGUAUGUAUAUGCAUGUGUGUGUAUAUUUGUAUUUGCGUGUGUGUGUAUGAGUGUAUGUAUAUGUUUGUUUGUGAGCAUAAGUGUCUAUGUGUGUAUAUGUCUUUGUAUAUGUAUAUAUUUGUAUGUGUCUGUAUAUGUGUGUGUAUGUGUGUGUGUAUGUAUAUGCGUGUUUGCAUGUUUGUAUUUGUGUGUAUGUGUGUAUGUAUGUGUAUGUGUACGUAUGUGUCUGUAUGUGUGUAUGUGUGUAAGUGUGCAUGUGUAUGUGUAUAUAUAUGUAUGUGAGUACGUGUAUGUAUGUAUGUGUAUAUAUCUGUGUGUAGGUACGUGUGUAUGUGUAAGUAUGUAUGUGUAUUAUCUGUGUGUAUGUGCAUGUAUGUAAGUAUGUAUGUAUGUGUAUGUGUGUGUAUGUGUGUGUGUAUGUUUAUAGGUACGGAAUGGGUAAUGAAGUUCGCUACGCAAACAGGAAUGUCGGUAUCGAUGGUGGUGGCACUGAUGGUAGUUUUGAAUAUUGUUGUUGUUGUUGUUGGUGGUGGUGGUCCUGGUGAUGGUGGAGCUGUUAGUGGCGAUGAUGCUGAGAGCUGCGGUGGUGGUGGUGGUGGUGGCGUUCGUUUUGGUAGCGUUUGUGUUGCAGUGUUGCUAUUAUUGUUGUUGUUUGUGAUGUAGCAUUAUUAAUAGUUGUGGUGGUGGUGGCCAUGUGGCGUUAUUGUGGUGGCCUUGUAGUAGUAGUAGUAGUAGUAGUAGUAGUAGUAUUAGUAGUAGUAGUAAAGGUAGUAGUAAGUAGUAGUAGUUGUAUUAGUUAGUACUAGUAGUAGUAGUAAUUAUUGUAGAAGUAGUUAUAAUAGUAGUAGUAGUAGUAGUAGUAGUAGUAGUAGUAGUAGUAGUAAUAGUAGUAGUUGUAUUAGCUAGUAGUAGUAGUUGUACUGGUUAGUAGUAGCUGUAUUAUUAAUAGUUAGAAGUAGUAGUAGUAGUAGUAAUAAUUGUAGAAGUAGUUAUAGUAGUAGUUGUAUUAGUAGUAGUAGCAAUAGUUGUAUUAGUUAUUAUUAUUAGUAGUAGUAGUAGUAGCAGCAGCAGCAGCAGCAGUAGUAGUAGUUGUAGUAUUGGUGGUCGUGAAGGAAUCCCACGGGGAUGGACCGGACACACCGCGUUUCGUUGUGGAACACUACGUGACACCCCGGCUUUAUGAGGAACAGAUGAAUGCCUUCACACCUCUCACCGACAUUCUAUAUUGACAAUAUGUCGUUCACACUUUCUUAAUUGGAAUUCAGUGUCAAAGGCUCCACGCGCAUAAUUCAAUCAGUAUUCUUAAUUGGCAUGUGAGUGUGUGUGUUUGUGUGUGUGUGUGUAUAUAUAUAUAUAUAUGUCGAUGUGUGUACCCAUGUAUGAAUAUACACACUCAUAUAUGAAUGUAUAUACAUGCAUAUUCGUACAUACUCUUUUACUCCUUUAUUUGUUUCAGUCAUUUGACUGUGGCCAUGCUGGAGCACCGCCUUGAGUCGAGCAAAUCGACGCCAGGACUUAUUCUUUGUAAGCCUAGUACUUAUUCUAUCUUUCUAUCUGUCUCUUUUGCCGAACUGCUAGGGUUACGGGGACGUAAACACAACAGCAUCGGUUGUCAAGCGAUGUUGGGGGACAAACACAGACACACAAACACCCCCCCCCCAUAUAUACGACGGGCUUCUUUCAGUUUCCGUCUACGAAUUCCACUCACAAGGCUUUGUCGGCCCGAGGUUAUAGUAGAAGACGCUUGUCCAAGGUGCAACGCAGCGGGACUGAACCCGGAACCAUGUGUUUUGGUAAGCAAGCUACUUACCACAGAGCCACUCCUGUGCCACAUAUAUGCUGGGCCGAACACCGUCAAGCAUGAUCUUUCUUUCUUGACUCGACUGCCAGACACGAAGCAUCUCUUAGUCCUGUCUCCUGACUUUCAUCUCUUAUCUCCAUCUAUGUUCCUGCCUCAAGGCUUUCACUCCGCAUCCGCCAGCUCAAUCUGAUUCUUCUUCAUUAGUUGAAAGACGCAUGUUGUUAUUUUUUUGCUGUUUGUAUUUGUAAUUGAGUAAUAUUUUCUCCGUUUUUUUUUUCGUCUUUGUUCUCGUGCACAUUCGCUUGCUUUCUCCCAAAAUAUUUGAUGCUCUUAGCUUAGUUUUUUGGGAUCAGCUAGAUUUGAACAAUCUCAAGUAUAACCGGCCGAAACUGGAAGGAUAAUCUGGAAACUCGACAGAGGAUUUGUUUUGCCCUGUCCGUCUUUUUGUUGUUUUUCCCGUCCGUCUUCGUAUCGUCUAUCUGACCGGAUGAUUCAUUGUCGUUUGUUGUGUUCUUGUUCCAUUUUUCACACACACACACACACACACACACACACACACACACACACACACACACACACACACACACACACACACACACACACACACACAAAUAUAUAUAUAUGUAUAUAUAGAGAAAACUUGUAGUGUCAUUUCAUAAGGAAUUCUUUUACAUGCUAUGACAUCAAGGUCAUUCGCACGUUAAUUUUCUCACAUUAAUUUUACACGCCCAUGCAUACACAAACAAACAUAUUUACAUAUACACAUACAUAUAUGAAUGUGCAUAUAUAAUAUCAAUCUGAUACCUUUUGUACAUAUACAUAAUACAUAUAUACAUACAUAAAUACAUACAUGCAUACAUACAUAUAUACAUACAUAAAUACAUACAUACAUACAUAUGCUUUUUAUUCUUUUCGUUUGCUCCAGACAUUUGGCUGCGGCCAUACUGGAGGACCACCUCAUAGGGUUUUAGUCGAAGAAAUCGAACUCAGGACUUAUUCUUUGUAAGCCUAGUAAUUAUCCUAGCAGUCUCUUUUGUCGAACAGCUGAAUUACGGGGACGUAAACGCACCAACAUCGGUUGACAAACGAUGGUCGAGGGAAAAACAGACACAGGCACACACAUAUAAAUACAUACAUGUAUAUGUGUGUGUGUAUAUAUAUAUAAAUAUGUGAAUAUAUAUAUAUAUAUAUAUAUAUAUAUAUAUAUAUAUAUAUAUAUAUAUAUAUAUAUGUAUAUAUAAACAUAUAUACAUACACAACGGUCCUUUCAGUUUCCGUCUACCGAGUCCACACACAAGGGGUUGGUCGGCCCGAGGCUAUAGUAGAAGACACUUGCCCACGCAGUGGGACUGAACCCGGAACCAUGGAGUUGGGAAGCAAGCUUCCUAUCACACACCCACGCUUUAUAUAUACACAUACUGACGUCAUAAUAAGUGUUAUGAACUGUGACUUGUCCCAUGGAAAGGGUUUUUAGCUAAAUAUUUACACUCUAUUAUAGCUUUUUUAACUUAGAGAUUCACAAACCCAUAUAUCUAUCUAUCUAUCUAUCUAUCUAUCUAUCUAUCUAUCUAUCUAUCUAUCUAUCUAUCUAUCUAUCUAUCUAUCUAUCUAUCUAUCUAUCUAUCUAUCUAUCUAUCUAUCUAUCUAUCUAUCUAUCUAUCUAUCUAUCUGCCUAUCUAUCUAUCUAUCUAUCUAUCUAUCUAUAUACAUAUGUAUGUAUGUAUGUAUGUAUGUAUGUAUGUAUGUAUAUAUGUAUGUAUAUGCAUAUGUAUGUAUAUGUAUGUAUGUACGUAUAUGUAUAGGCGCAUAAGCGCAGGAGUGGUUGUGCGGUAGGUAGCUUGCUUACCAGCCACAUGGUUCCGGGUUCAAUCCCACUGCGUGGCACCUUGGGCAAGUGUCUUCUACUGUAGAUUCACACAAACGAGACUAUCGGCCAGUCUUCCCACGCCACACCGCUCCUCCUGAGUGAAUCGGGAUAUAGAUCUGUUUCGAAAAGCCAAAUUACUGCUUAACUCACACUACACCUUGAAUAAUCAAUCCUUCGUCCCCUCUAAAGAUUACAUGAACUCUUCCUAUGUCAGCACUGUCAUAUUCAGAUACAAGAGUCACUUGUUACGUUUUCCUUUCUAUAAACAUUAUUGUUUUGAAAUAUUUCAUUAUGGCCGGAUAUUUUUAUAAGAAAUUAUUGCAAACCACUGUGAAUUCGUAAAUCUGGUUGUUGACAUAGCUUAACGAAUAAUUUCGCUCGUAUUUAAAUAUGUGUGUGUGUAUGUAUAUGUGCAUGUGUAUAUAUGUAUGUAUUUGUAUGUAUAUAUAUAUAUAUAUGUAUGUAUGUACGUAUGUAUGUAUAUAUAUGUAUAUAUAUAUAUAUAUAUAUAUAUAUAUAUAUAUAUAUAUAUAUAUAUAUAUAUAUAUAUAUAUAUAUAUAUAUAUAUAUAUAUAUAUAUAUAUAUAUAUAUAUAUAUAUAUAUAUAUAUAUAUAUAUAUAUAUAUAUAUGCAUCGGACAUCUAAUUAUAAAAGUGGAAAAAAUAUCUGAAAAGCCAUUUCUAUUAAUCUUAUAUUUGUACUCAUACACACACACACAUACACACACACACACACACACACACACACACAUGUGUAGUGUAUAGAAUGGAUUAUAACGCAAGCUGUGUCCUCGUGAAGCAAAUCUAAAUCUACAAGUUAGCAGUAAUUAAAUGCACAUAUAUGGAUGCUUUAAACAAGUGUAAAUUCUGUGCGAAUUAGGAAACGGCGGUGAGUGAAAUUUUUCUAAAUUGAAUAAUGAGCCUUCAUCGUAUAUUGACUAUAGAAAAUAGUCGGUUAUUAGGGCAUAUAAACCUCCUUAACGGAAAAAAAGUGGGUAUCUGAACGUGUCCCCAUUCUUUUGUGUCAAGCAGGUUUAUCAUGCCCUAAUAUUUAACUAAUUUUCCAUAAUAUACAAUGAAGGCUUUACAAAAUAGAUGUCUUUUAAUUUUAAAUGAAGCAUAUAGGCGCAGGAGUGGCUGUGUGGUAAGUAGCUUGCUAACCAAGCACAUGGUUCCGGGUUCAGUCCCACUGUGUGGCAUCUUGGGCAAGUGUCUUCUGCUAUAGCCCCGGGCCGACCAAUGCCUUGUGAGUGGAUUUGGUAGACGGAAAUUGAAAGAAGCCUGUCGUAUAUAUGUAUAUAUAUAUAUAUGUAUAUAUGUGUAUGUGUGUGUGUUUGUGUGUGUGUGUGUUUGUCCCCCUAGCAAUGCUUGACAACCGAUGCUGGUGUGUUUACGUCCCCGUCACUUAGCGGUUCGGCAAAAAGAGACCGAUAGAAUAAGUACUGGGCUUACAAAGAAUAAGUCCCAGGGUCGAUUUGCUCGACUACAGGCGGUGCCUCAGCAUGGCCGCAGUCAAAUGACUGAAACAAGUGAAAGAGUAAAAGAGUAUACAUGCGAGAUAGGUUGAGAAUUUCAUAGGGUGAUUAUGAAAGAGGUUUGGAGUCACUGUGUAACUUUCGCCGAUUAAUAUAUUAAUGUGUGUGUGUGUGUGUGUGUAGGCAGUCCGACGAUGGGUUAAUUGGCCGGUACUUCGAAGUCACUGUCAACAUUCUUGUGUAAAAAUAAUAAAUCUGUACCCUACGAAAGUUUAGAGCAGCCCAUCAAAUUAAUGUAAAAUUAUUUUACAUUUAUGUACAUACAUAGUUUAUAUUUAUUUAAAGGAAGAAAAUUAGCAGGAAGCAGGUCAUCUUCACUUACACCCGUUUCAAUUAAUACCCAAUAGACAUUAAAUUUACAUUUAUGAGACAUGAUCAUAAGAUUAUACUCAUGUUGCAUAAAUGUAAAUUUAAUGAUUAUUGAGUAUUGAUUGAAACGGCUGUAAGUGAAGAUGACUAAUUUUCUGUUAAUAAACAAUUAUUAUCUUCACGGUCUCCACUUUCUUCUUUUAAAUAAAUAAAGCUAUAAGUUUUUACAUAUACCUAUUAUUUUAAGGAAAUUUAUCCCCCCCACCCCAAAAAAUAGUAGGUAUUAAACCAGUAACCAUCCCUUCAUGAGGUUAACAUGACUUCUAAUUAAAUACACACACAUACACACAUAAAGGUGACUUGAAAGUACAGAGGAUACUUAUAAAGGAGUGACAUUAGAGCUGUGAAAUCUAAGUAACCGGUUGCGAUUUAAAAGUAACCGGUAACGACCUCUUUUGAAAAUCGACAAUAUUUCGUACCAUGGUGUUAUCAAGUACCUGCAAAAAAAAAGUGUUUAGCCCCGAGGGAUAUUCAUGAUGACAUGGUUGUUACACUAGCAGAUGACGCUCCAGCUUGAUGAACCGUCCAA